AAACGUCAAAUCGUAUGACGUAUCACUGAGUGUUUAUGAAUAUAAUAUACUUUUGUUCCAAAUGCCUCAAUGCAGUGCGUUAAAUUGUAAAACAGAGGAAUACAUUUAUUUCCAAAGGAAAGUAAACGUAGAAAGCAAUGGGAAUCUGCGUUACGUAUAAAAACUUCGAAGCUAGUAGCACAGCACGAUUGUGUGUUGCGCAUUUUACAGAAAAAGAUUAUUACGGGAAAAUCAAUUAUACAGGUUAUGAGCUCCUUGCAAAAUUUCUUAAAAAGACAGCUGUGCUAUCUGUGUUCUUCUUAACGAAGAUAAAACCAGAAAAUCCAGCUGCUGUGGCACAUCAACAACGUAUUGAACGAAGAAGUCAGUCGAGUAACAAAUGUAGAUGAUUCACAACCAUCAAGUAGCAAAGUUAACCUAAUAAGUGACAGAGACAAUUUACUGGAAGUUGAUCAUGAAGAAGCAGUCAAAACAGAAGACAACAGUGCAGUAGGAUGUACAUAUAUUAUGCAUGAAUUUAUAUCUAAGGGCACUCAAGUUGAUCAAGAACACAAAUAUGGGUUUAUGAAUAGAUAUAAAGAUGAUAAUGCCACUAUUAAGUUUUACACAGGUUUUGAAUCAUAUAAAAAAUUUAAUUUAGUCUACUCAGCUCUUAGUCCAGUGGUUCACAAAAUAAAAUAUUAUGGCAGCAAUGUGAUUAUUCUUAGCAGUGAUUCUAAUUCUAAUUUAUUAGUUGGUGCAAUACCUGGUAGCUUGCUGUUAUAUUGUUCUCAAGCAUUUGCAGGAUUGAUAAGUGAUCAGUAGGCAGUGGAACAAAGUGACCUUUUAGCAAAAUGUGAAAGUGGUAGUAGUAUACUGACUGACAGAGGAUUUAUGAUACAAUAUAUAUUUCAUCAGACAAAAAUGUGACCAUUAGGAUUCCCAGUUUCUUAAAAGAAAAAUUUCAGUUGCCUGGUCUUAAUGUAAUAAAAGAUAGGAGCUUGCAAACAAAGGAGUUCAUAUAGAAAGAAUAAUAGGAUUAACAAAGACAAACAAAAUUUAAAAAUGAAUUAGACCAUAACUAUAUCCCAAUAGUGAGCAAAAUCUUUUUUUAUGUUUUAUGUGCUAAACAUCUACAAUUUCAGGAAUUAUACUAUUACUAUAUUGUGAAAGAUAUUAGAUAAAAAGAUGUAAUUAUUUCAAUUUAUUUAUUAAUUGUAAAUAGUUCUUAUACACAUACUUAUUUACAUUUCUGGUUCUAAAUUAUGUACAUAAAAGUUUAACAAAUUUGUCAACAUGCCAUUAAUAAAUGAGUCAUCUCUA